CCUACGGGAGGCAGCAGUGGGGAAUAUUGGACAAUGGGCGGAACCCUGAUCCAGCGACGCCGCGUGAGUGAAGAAGUAUUUCGGUCUGUACAGCUCUAUUAGCAGGGAAGAACAUUCCGGUACCUGACUCAGAAGCUACGGCUAACUCCGUGCCAGCAGCCGCGGUCAUUCGUAGGGGGCAAGCGGUAUCCUGAUUUACUGGCUGUAAAGGGAGCGUGAGAGGUGCAGCAAGUCUGAUGUGAAAGGUCGGGGCUCAACCCCCGGAAUGCAUUGGAAACUGGUGAACUGGAGUCGAGGAGAGGUAAGCGGAAUUCCUAGUGUAGCGGUGAAAUGCGUAGAUAUUAGGAGGAACACCAGUGGCGAAGGCGGGGUACUGGACAGUAACUGACGUUGAGGCUCGAAAGCGUGGGGAGCAAACAGGAUUAGAUACCCCAGUAGUC
rnacentral:rRNA from 1 species